AAAGCUCGUAGUUGGAGUUCUGCCAGGUGCCACCUGUCCGCCCCAGUGGUGAGUACGUGGUGCGCAUUUGGCCCUUUCAAGGGGAGCGUAUUUGCACUUAAUUGUGUGAUGCGGGAUCCUUGACUUUUACUUUGAGGAAAUAAGAGUGUUCCAAGCAGGCUCUCGUCGUGCAUAGCUCAGCAUGGAAUAAUAGCAUUGGACCUCGAUUCUAAGCUGUUGGUUGCCAGAAGCGAGGUAAUGAUGAAGAGGGAUAGUUGGGGGCAUUCGUAUUUAACUGUCAGAGGUGAAAUUCUUGGAUUUGCUAAAGACGGACUACUGCGAAAGCAUCUGCCAUGGAUGUUUUCAUUGAUCAAGAACGAAAGUUAGGGGAUCGAAGACGAUCAGAUACCGUCCUAGUCUUAACUAUAAACCAUGCCGGCUAGAGAUCGGAGGUUGUUCGUUUUGUGACGCCUUCAGCAUCUUGAGAGAAAUCAAAGCCUUUGGGUUCCGGGGGGAGUAUGGUCGCAAGGCUGAAACUUAAAGGAAUUGACGGAAGGGCACCACCAGGAGUGGAGCCUGCGGCUUAAUUUGACUCAACACGGGGAAACUCACCAGGUCCAGACUGGGUAAGGAUGUACAGAUUGACAGCUCUUUACAGAUUCUCAGGGUGGUGGUGCAUGGCCGUUCUUAGUUGGUGGAGUGAUUUGUCUGGUUAAUUCCGUUAACGAACGAGACCUUAACCUGCUAAAUAGCGUCGAGUUUCUUCUUGAAACGAAGAUGUCUUCUUAGAGGGACGUCGCGUGUCUAACGCGAGGAGGUGUGAGGCAAUAACAGGUCUGUAAUGCCCUUAGAUGU
rnacentral:rRNA from 1 species